CAGCCUGGGGUGCUGAGUGCUGGGCUAUUGGGGAUGAUGGUCUGGGGUACUGAGUGCUGGGGUGCUGGGCGCUGAGUGCUGGGGUGCUGGGCGCUGAGUGCUGGGGUGCUGGGCGCUGAGUGCUGGGCUGUUGGGGAUGACAGCGGAUGUUCUCCUCCCUGUCUUUUCAGGGCAUGUGCACACCACCCUCGGGCAUGAUCCUGGAGACGCGGGAGCUCGGCUGCCAGGUUGCUGAUACGCUCCAUGUUCAGGGGCUGUCCCACCGGGAAAGGUGCCUGUGGGGGAGCUGGGAUGCCAGGUCGAUUUCAACUAAGUUCUCGUUUACGGACAUACACACCAGUGGGAUUUGAUUACUGGCCUCACCUGCGCUGGAAGAAGCUCUAUCUUUAACUUCUGUUCUGCUCAUUCUGCUCAUGUAUAUAUUCUGAGAUGUUUUAAACAACAAUUCACCCAUCUUCCUGGCUUUCACCUGAUGAAAUUACAAAUGUUCAGAAUUCUCACCACCUUCUGGUUAAGCAAGUGUCAUGGAUUGAACUGUGUCCCCCUGAAACUCUUAUGCUGGAGUCCUAGUCCCACGGCCUCAGAAUGUGGCCUUAUUUGGAGACAGGGUCUUCACAGAGGUGAUCUGUUUAACAGGAGGUCCCAGGGUGGGCCCUAAACCCCAUGGCUGGUGUCCGUAUAAGAUGGGCACAUUUGGACACUGAGACACAGACAAGAAGACGACCACAUACGGCCACGCGGGGUGCCCUCCAAGGAACCAACUCCGGCCGCACCUUGAUCUCGGCCUUCCCGCCUCCUUUCCCGCUGUUUAAGCCGCCCAUGAGAGUGCCCCAUGAUGGCAACGCCAGCGGGCGCAUAUACAGCAGGCCUCUGGGGUCCAGCCUGGGAGCCCAGACACAGACACCGUCUCUACCUGGCAAGAUGGGGUGACGAAAUGAGAAAUGAAUAGAUCUGGUCUCUGCUCCUGAGACCCAGCACAGGGCUCCAAAAGCCCUUGAAUUUCCUGGGUGAUGGUAGCGGAUUCUUCCGUUCAAAUGAGGUGAGGCUUGGUGGCUCCUGGAGGGGGGCCGGUCACCAGAGAGACCAGCCAGGAUUAGCACCUGCAGCUCUCAACCCUGCACCCACCCUCCUCCAGGGAUCAUCCACCAUCAUCCUUCAUGUCUGUGAUGGAGCCUCCAUAAGAAUGCCUGGACUAUGGGUCCAGAGCAGUUCCGGGUUGCUGAACACAUCCACGAGCCAGGAGGGUGGUGCCCCCCACUCCACGGACACAGAAGCUCCUGGGCUGGGGACCCUUUCCGACCCUGCCCUGUGCCCCGGCCCACCUGGCUGCCCAUCUGCGGCCUUUCUCAUCUCCUUUUCCUGCGUUCUGUGAUAAUUUUGUGUUGCACUCUUGAUAUUUAAGGCUAAUGUGUAACUAGAAAACUGAGUUUUAAUAUUUAAUGCCCUUGGAUUUGGGAAAUCUCUUACUA